CAAAAACAUUGCUUCUUGUAAUUUAAUAAGAAGUAAUUCCUGCCCAGUGAUUUAACGGCCGCGGUAUCCUAACCGUGCAAAGGUAGCAUAAUCACUUGCCCAUUAAUUGUGGGCUAGAAUGAAAGGACUAACGAAAUAAAAACUGUCUCUAUAAGUCUAAUAUAAAUUAUUCUCUAACUGAAGAGUGUUAGAUGAAAUUGAAGGACAAGAAGACCCUAUAGAGCUUUAUCUUACCAGAUAUUUCUAAUCUAUAAAGAUUCGGUUGGGGCGACCAGGGAAAAUUAAUCAUCCCUAAAAAAAAGACUUAUGAGUCUAACUUUUGACCCUAAAAAGAUCAUUAAAUAAGCUACCUUAGGGAUAACAGGCUAAUCCCAUUAAAGAGUCCUUAUCAAUAAUGGGGAUUGGCACCUCGAUGUUGGCUUAGGGAAUCUAUACGGCGCAAAAGUCGUAAAAAGAUGGUUUGUUCAACCAAUAAUACCCUACAUGAUCU
rnacentral:rRNA from 1 species